GUGAGAUGUCUUUUGUGUGUGUAGAAUGUGAGCUAAAGCAUGCGGAACCAUGAGGUCGGAAUAUCCUACUAAACCUCUAGAGGCUGUAACUGCCUUCUCUGCAGCUGCUACAGCUCUGAGGCAGAGGGGCAGGCCUGCUGCUACUGGAUCCAGUUUUGUAGAAGAAAAACAAGCAACAGGCAAGGUGAUCAUGCACGACCCCUUCGCCAUGCGGCCGUUCUUCGGUUACAACUUCGGCGACUACCUCGCUCACUGACUGAGCAUGCAGACCCGAAAGGCCCCCACUCACCUGCCCAAGAUCUUCCACGUAAACUGGUUCAGGAAGAACCCGGCGAACGGCGCCUUCCUGUGGCCCGGGUUUGGCGAGAACGCGCGCGCCCUGGAG
ensembl:lncRNA